rnacentral:rRNA from 1 species
UACGUAGGGCGCAAGCGUUGUCCGGAAUUAUUGGGCGUAAAGAGCUCGUAGGCGGCUUGUCACGUCGAUUGUGAAAGCUCGGGGCUUAACCCCGAGUCUGCAGUCGAUACGGGCUAGCUAGAGUGUGGUAGGGGAGAUCGAAUUCCUGGUGUAGCGGUGAAAUGCGCAGAUAUCAGGAGGAACACCGGUGGCGAAGGCGGAUCUCUGGGCCAUUACUGACGCUGAGGAGCGAAAGCGUGGGGAGCGAACAGG